CCGGCCCAUCGGCCCCUCCCAUCCUGCCGGGGUUGCCUGCUGCAGCGCCCGGCCCCUGGCGUCUCCUCCUCCGGCUGCAGGACUUGACACUCCUCACUGUGAUCUCUGCUGUGAGCUGAGUCCCUUGGCAAGCAUCCAACGAUGCUGUGUGAUCCAGACAAGCUGGGACUCUGAGCCUUCAGAAGAAUGUACUCAGUGGUUCAUCACAUUAUCAUCUUCCUCUGAGGUGAGCUUUAGUGAGAAUGGGAGAUACAAGAGACAUUUGUCCUCACCUCGAUUCCAUAGGUGAGGUCACCAAGGAUGAACUGCUGCUCAAAUCAAAGGGGACUUGCCAGUCGUGCAGAGCUGGGGGACCGAACCUCUGGGCUUGCCUGCAGGUUGCUUGUCCUUAUGUUGGGUGUGGGGAAUCCUUUGCGGAUCAUAGCACCCUUCACGCACAGGCCAAAAAACACAACCUGACCGUGAACCUGACGACAUUCCGGGUGUGGUGUUAUGCCUGUGAAAAGGAGGUAUUCUUGGACCAGAGACUGGCAGCACAUGCACCAUCCUCGUCAUCAAAGUUCAGCGAUCAGGAGCCUAUAUUGCCUGCUCACCCGUUGAAGGCAGUUCCAAUUGCAGUGGCUGAUGAAGGGGAAUCGGAAUCGGAGGAGGAUGAUCUGAAACCAAGAGGCCUUACUGGAAUGAAAAACCUUGGGAACUCUUGCUACAUGAAUGCAGCGCUUCAGGCCCUCUCUAACUGCCCGCCUCUCACACAGUUUUUUCUGGAGUGUGGCGGGCUGGUGCGUACGGACAAGAAGCCAGCAUUGUGCAAAAGUUACCAGAAACUGGUCUCUGAGGUUUGGCACAAGAAGCGCCCAAGCUAUGUGGUUCCAAGCAGCUUGUCUCAUGGAAUUAAACUGGUCAACCCCAUGUUCCGGGGCUAUGCACAGCAGGACACCCAAGAGUUUCUGCGAUGCCUGAUGGACCAGCUUCAUGAAGAGCUAAAGGAACCAAUUGUUGCUGAGGCAAGAGACUCUGACUCCAGUGACACGGAUGACAAGCGGGAAGGUGACCGUAGCCCCUCGGAGGAUGAGUUCCUCUCUUGUGAUUCGAGCAGUGACAGGGGUGAUAUGGAUGGACAAAGCAGGACAGGGGGCAUGAGCGGCUCCCUAGCAGAGGCAGAGUUGCUGAUCCAGGAUGAGGCCGGGAGAGGGAUCUCUGAGAAAGAGAGGCUGAAAGACAGGAAAUUCACCUACAGCCACCGGCGGAGCAACUCGGAACAAGUUGAUGAGGAUGCAGACGUUGAUACCACCAUGAAUCCAAUUGAUGGCAGAGCUUCUCCUGAAACCCUACCUCCCCCCUGCCCUGCCAGCCCAUGUAGGACACCAGAGCCGGACAACGAUGCCUAUGUGCGCUGCUCCUCGCGCCCCUGCAGCCCGGUUCACCAGGAGAUGCACUCCAAACUGUCCAGCAGCCCCCCUCGCUCCAGUCCUGUGCGCCUGGGACCUUCCUAUGUGCUGAAAAAAGCCCAGGUGCUGGCUUCCGGGAAGAAGAAGAAAGAGCUUCGUUACCGCAGCAUUAUUUCGGACAUCUUUGAUGGCUCCAUUCUCAGCCUGGUGCAAUGCCUCACCUGCGACAGAGUGCGUCUCCUUACUGCCGUUGCUCAAGUAUCCACAACGGUGGAGACGUUCCAGGAUCUGUCGCUGCCAAUCCCUGGGAAGGAGGACUUGGCCAAGCUGCAUUCCGCCAUUUACCAAAAUGUGCCUGCUAAGACAGGGGCCUGUGGGGACAAUUACACCUCGCAAGGCUGGAUUGCCUUCAUCAUGGAGUACAUCAGGAGGUUUGUGGUGUCCUGUAUCCCCAGUUGGUUUUGGGGUCCUGUGGUCACACUGGAGGACUGUCUUGCUGCCUUUUUUGCUGCCGAAGAGUUGAAAGGGGACAACAUGUACAGCUGUGAACGGUGUAAAAAACUGCGGAAUGGCGUGAAAUACUGCAAAGUUCUCCGGUUACCUGAGAUCCUGUGCAUCCACUUGAAACGGUUCCGGCACGAGGUCAUGUAUUCCUUCAAAAUCAACAGCCAUGUCUCCUUCCCGCUGGAAGGACUGGACCUUCGUCCCUUCCUGGCCAAGGAAUGCGUCUCCCAGAUCACCACCUACGAUCUCUUGUCUGUCAUCUGCCAUCACGGCACAGCAGGCAGUGGGCACUACAUCGCGUAUUGCCAGAACGUGAUCAAUGGCCAGUGGUAUGAGUUUGAUGAUCAAUAUGUCACUGAGGUCCAUGAGACAGUGGUACAGAACGCGGAGGCCUAUGUCCUGUUCUACAGGAAGAGCAGUGAGGAGGCUGUGCGGGAGCGGCAGAAGGUCGUGUCCCUUGCCACCAUGAAGGAACCCACCUUGCUGCAGUUCUACAUCUCUCGAGAGUGGCUCAACAAAUUCAACACCUUUGCAGAGCCUGGUCCCAUUACCAACCACACGUUCCUGUGCACACAUGGAGGGAUCCCACCCAAUAAAUACCAUUACAUUGAUGACCUGGUGGUGAUACUGCCCCAGACUGUGUGGGAGUAUCUGUAUAACAGGUUUGGGGGAGGCCCUGCCGUGAACCAUCUGUAUGUGUGCUCGGUCUGCCAGGUGGAGAUCGAAGCCCUGGCCAAACGCAGGAGGAUUGAGAUUGACACCUUCAUUAAGCUGAACAAGGCAUUCCAGGCAGAGGAGUCUCCCAGUGUCAUCUACUGUAUCAGCAUGCAGUGGUUCCGUGAGUGGGAGGCUUUCGUCAAGGGGAAAGAUAAUGAGCCUCCUGGACCAAUUGACAACAGCAGGAUUGCACUCGCAAAAGGAGGUGGACACGUGCAGGUGAAGCAGGGAGCUGAUUAUGGGCAGAUUUCCGAGGAGACGUGGAUUUACUUGAACACGCUGUAUGGAGGAGGGCCGGAAAUCCCUGUACGCCAGAACGUCGCGCAGGUGCAGGAACUGGAGAGCCUGCAUGGGGAACAGAAGAUAGAGGCUGAGACGCGGGCUGCGUGAGCCGCGCUGGACUAAGUGGUGGAGGUAUGCCAUGGCAGCCCUGUGUGUCUGGAAAAGUGGGGGAUCGUUGGACUGAAGAACAAGGGACAUAGUUGACCUCAGAGAAAUAGAGAGGAGAUUUUCCUUCUAGGGUGGAGGUGCCCCCAGGGUGUAAGCUUGCUCCAUCGUCCUUGUAUAACAAUGUAAAACCUCAUGCAGACUCUAGGCUUGGCUAUAAGGAUGCUGCUGGUCAGAAGAACUUCACCGUAACCCAGCUCCUGCACAGCCUCCAUGCCUAGGCCUAAGGCUGUGGUGGGGAGACUCUCCAAACAAAACUUAAGUGGAAGAAGUUGGGCCUGAACCUCCCCCUGCUUUGGCUGCUCUCGAGAGUAGCCCAAGUUUGCCUUUGGUGAUUGAAUCUCUGCUCCUUUGCAGGUGACGCUUGGCCCCAACUUCACACAUUGCUCCUCAGGAGCAGUUCUGAGCACUUUUUUGAAAGGCAAAUGUAUAAGGAAGAGACAUUGUUUUGUUCACAGGAAAAUGAUCAAAAAUUCUCCCCCGUGACCAAUUGUAGCAGAAUGCCAGCAUUAGCCCAAAGGGCAUACCGUACACAGAGAGGCAGGGCAGCUGGGCCUGAGAUGAGAUUUCCUUGGAUCCCUGCUUGCUUCCAUUCAACCAGUUUCUAUCCCAUGAAUACUUGCAUAAUAAAACUUGUUCCACUUACCCUUUUCCCACAUGUGCCAAUUCAGCACUGAGAUAUCCUCCACUCACUGGCACUGUCCAUACAAUUGCACAGACCUGGGUUAUGGCAGCAGUGCAGUGACAAAUUUAGUUCUGUUGUGUAUAUAAACUGGUGUUCAUGUGCAAAGUACCUUUUUCAAAGCAGCUAAAUCAACCCGCCUUUUCACUUGGCCACUAAAAGGCACAGCUAUGCCUCAGUGACUAUGGGCCACAUUUUUAAAGGUGUUCAGGCAGUCGAAAUUUUGAAAAUGAAAUUUAGGCUCCCAAAUCAGGUACGUAUUACAACGCUCAGUGCAGCAACACCUCAUACCUUUAAACAUCUGUCCCUGUCAAAUUUCAAGUUCCCAGCACCAGACAUUUUACCAAAAAAAAAAAAAAAGAGAUAUAAACAAACACUUUUUCAACCACCAUAACUGCAGUUUUCCUCUUCUCAAAUGACUGAACGGUUUCUGUGUGAGCUUCCCCAAACCCCAUUCUAAGACUGACAGCUGUACAAAUUCCAGUCCAAAAGAUAAAAGUUUGACAAAGUAUCAGCUUCUCAACCUGACCCACUGGAGAGAAAACAUUUAAGCCAUCUUCAUCCUAGGCAAUGUUCUUCCUGGUAUCAGCACAAUUAAUGCCAAAAGGUGCCUAAACCCCCCAGUGUGAUGUAAAAAUUCAAGUACCGGGAGUAAAAGUGUUCCUUCACCAUCCCACAGAUUUCAGCAACUAGACACAAACAUCGCACUCAAACAGAUUUGUUUCUACUCAUUUGCCAAGACAUGUUGCAGUUUAAUAUAAAAAUUGGAAAGCAUCCAGCAAUUCACUGAGAAUGCAGAGGAAGAAGAAAUAGGCAGAGUUCCAAGCUUGUGAUUUAUAUUUGGCUACAUCUAGAAGUAAUGCAAAGUGGAGUUCCCAGCUGCAGGUGUAGGUGGUAAUGGCAAAUGUGUCACUGCAGAUAUAAUAGACCUGCCAAUGAUAGCAGCAGUGAAUGGCCAGGGUAUGGACUCUUUUUGUGAAACAAUUAGGACAGUUUUGCUUGAAUCCCCUACAUGAUAAGAGGGUUAAAGUAAAUAGCAUGUCAAAUUAAAGGUUUAUUUAAAUAUGUAGAUGACUUUUCAUUCAUGGUUACAAGGUCAAUAUUUGCUUUCCAAUGGAAGCACUUUAUUUGGGUGAAUUCUGUCUCCAGAAAAUAAUGGGCAACACCAGAACCUUUUACACUGGCAAUGAAAUCACAACAGUGAGAUCUAGAAUUCAGUGCGCAAACACAUACACACACAAAUACAAAUUUAAAAAGUGCUCAGCAUCAUGUUAAAAUAUAAUUUGGCUUCUGUUAAGUCUUUUGACACUUCAAGCAGGAAAAAAAAAUCAAUAUGCAUCAAACCAAAAAGAACUUUUGAAAAAUACUCAGCAUUAAACACAACUUUCAGUAUCAGUAAAUAUGUCUCUUUUCUUCUAUAUUUACAGAUGUUAAGAAAGGGCAUUAGAAACACUGUUUUGUUGGGGACAAUGGUGAGAUUCCAUUUCACAGAGUGUACAAUCACACUUUUGCAGUGUGAGCUUAGUCAAUUCAAGCAACGUUUUUAUAAACCAGUCAUGUUUAGAGAGACAGGGAGGGUGAGGUAAUAGCGUUUACUGGACAGACAAGCUUUCACGCUUACAUGGAGCUUUUGUUCAGGUCUGGCCUCACCCACCUGUGUCUAAUAUCCUGGGACCAACACAGCUACAACAACACUAUGUAAGUCAUAUGUUUAGUCUGUCUCAGUUGUUUGUUUUAAAGUUAAACUCUAUCACUUACCUACUUCUUAUGCUGAAUACACACAGCACAAGAAAGAUCUAAACUAUAGUACCUGACAGGUAAUUGUUUCCUUCUCAUCAGUUGUAAGGUCCAAGCUUUCUGAAAUGGGGCAGCAGGUUUAUAAAAACUCCACAGAUGGUUUUCUAAUACAUCCCUUUCAAAGAAAAUCAGUUGGCGUGGCCAAAGCUAAUGCUCCUUCUAAAGCACUAUGUAGCAACACUGACACUGGAAUAGUUCAGAUGUUCCACAGAGGCUGACAAUAAUAUACUGUCCACCUAGAUUAAAUAUAUAAAAGAAAACUCUCUCGUUUUAACAUAGAUGGCACAAAAAGGUGAAAGUCAGCUGAUUCUAGCUGUUGAUUCAACAGUGCAUCAGACACAAAGGAAUAAAUACUGCAGCUAAAAAUAUUUGUAGAUAUUUGCACACCUGUUGACUGCUUAACCAUUUAGAUCCCAAUGGAGAUAUGCUAAUAUUGAAAUGCAGCAGAAUUCUCACACACUUGUGUCACAGGUCUGCAUAUGAAGUUUAAGACAAACUGUCUACAUGGUGGAUUUUAUUCUGGUAUCAAAGGCUUGCAGAUCUAAAGAGCUAAGUGACGGCAGUAACAGCAGUGGUAUGGAUGGCAGUUUAGCUGAUUUUUGACCCUUCGGACUGUGAUAACAUUGCAGCAGAAGGGCUUCAGAGGUUUCUAAGUUUGUACCAUCUGCUUAGACAACGCAGCCUCCUGACCUAUGUUACUUGAUUAAAAAAAAAAUUGUCUUCUUGCUUGCUGAGGCUUAUAGUUAUUAAGCAUGAUAAAGCAUUAGCUACAGUAUUAACUACUGUAGAAGUGAAGGACUCUGCUAUUAAAAAUGAGGUUUUUUGUUAUUAUUAAGAGGGACAAAAUUGUGAACACAACAUUUAACCCACCUUAAAGACAACCACCUCAUCCUAAAAUGGGAAGAGCUGGGUGAUACCCUACAUAAGAAUGCCCAAUUCCUGGAUACUAUAUUUUACUAUUGUCCCUGCUCACAAGAACAGGGGACAGCAUUGGAACAUGCACAGGCCUGCCUGCAAAUCAAAGCUGACAAGUCUCAUUUUAGGGCCACUAGCCAUGAUGGCAUCCAUUUUAAUUCUCUCUUAUUCUGGGCCUUUUACAAAAAAUCCAUGAUAUUUCUUAAGAGCUGGGGAUUUCCCCCUGCUACUAAGACAGGCCUUGGAAAGCUGCUCUUAUUACCCACUGGCUGCUGUUACACAAGGUUUGAGGAGGUAUCUGAUUUCUGCAGUAGCCUAGUAAUGUGAAGAUUUUGGGAGAAGGAGAGCGAGAAACUCAGUUUUAGGAGCUUAGAAAGCAACCUAACCCCUCUUUAGGGAGUUUGACUCCAGAUUACUUGAUAUUUGGAAGCAGCAUAACUUCCUCUGCACUAGGUACAGCACCACUAUAAAAAUGCUUCUCCUUUAAAUAAGAUCACAUGACAACAGGAUGGUUGAUACUUGAUGAUGGAUAAGUCCGGAUUCCUGUCUGAAACCCCUGGGCAAAGGUCCAGUCUGUGGCGAGAUGGAGGAGGGGAGGGGAAUGCCGUUUGUUUUGGUUUUUUUACGUAAUUUCUGCUGUUCAAACACACUGAUGAGAGUGCACAGGGGCUCAUGCAAAAGGAGAAGGCAGGUCUGAAAUGCU